rnacentral:rRNA from 1 species
AGCUCUUGACAUGGAAGUCGCCGCUAGGAGAGAUCUUAGCUUCGGUUCGGCCGGACUUCGCAC